GACGAACGCUGGCGGCGUGCUUAACACAUGCAAGUCGAACGAUGAAGCCGGAGCUUGCUCUGGUGAAUUAGUGGCGAACGGGUGAGUAACACGUGAGUAACCUGCCCUUGACUCUGGGAUAACUGCUAGAAAUGGUAGCUAAUACCGGAUACGACACCUUGGGGCAUCCCAGGGUGUGGAAAGAAUUUCGGUCAAGGAUGAGCUCGCGGCCUAUCAGCUAGUUGGUGAGGUAAUGGCUCACCAAGGCGACGACGGGUAGCCGGCCUGAGAGGGUGACCGGCCACACUGGAACUGAGACACGGUCCAGACUCCUACGGGAGGCAGCAGUGGGGAAUAUUGCACAAUGGGCGAAAGCCUGAUGCAGCAACGCCGCGUGAGGGAUGAAGGCCUUCGGGUUGUAAACCUCUUUUAGCAGGGAAGAAGCGAAAGUGACGGUACCUGCAGAAAAAGCACCGGCUAACUACGUGCCAGCCGCCGCGGUAA
rnacentral:rRNA from 1 species